rnacentral:rRNA from 1 species
CCUACGGGGGGCAGCAGUGAGGAAUAUUGGUCAAUGGACGAGAGUCUGAACCAGCCAAGUAGCGUGAAGGAUGACUGCCCUAUGGGUUGUAAACUUCUUUUAUAAAGGAAUAAAACGAGGCACGUGUGCCUUUAUGCAUGUACUUUAUGAAUAAGGAUCGGCUAACUCCGUGCUAGCAGCCGCGGUAAUACGGAGGAUCCGAGCGUUAUCCGGAUUUAUUGGGUUUAAAGGGAGCGGAGAUGGGUUGUUAAGUCAGUUGUGAAAGUUUGCGGCUCAACCGUAAAAUUGCAAUUGAUACUGGCAGUCUUGAGUACAGUUGAGGUAGGCGGAAUUCGUGGUGUAGCGGUGAAAUGCUUAGAUAUCACGAAGAACCCCGAUUGCGAAGGCAGCUUACUAAACUGUGACUGACAUUGAUGCUCGAAAGUGUGGGAAUCAAACAGGAUUAGAUACCCGUGUAGUC